rnacentral:rRNA from 1 species
UAUUAUUCUAAAAUUAAUUGUGUACUUUAGUCAGUAAUAGAUAUUUACUUAAAAUCUAAAAAAUUUGGCGGUAAUUUAAUCUUUCCAGAGGAACUUGUUUUUUAAUCGAUAAACCGCGAAGAAUCUUACUUGUUAAAAAAUAAGAGUUUGUAUACCGUCAUUAUCAGGUAAUUUUUAAAAAAUAAAUUACUGAGGAUAAAAAAGAAAUCUAAAAAAAUUAGAUCAUGGUGCAGCUAAUGAGCAAGUUAAAAUGAGUUACAAUAAAUUAUUUUAUACGGACAGAUAAAGGAAUUUUUAUUUAAAAGGAGGAUUUGGUUGUAUUUUAAAUUUAAUAUGUUUAAGAGAUGGUAGCUCUAAAUUAUGUACAUAU